CUAUGUGCAACUAGGUAGGACUAUCAGUCUUCAAAGUGAAAUUCUUAAUUAUUUCAUACUUCUUAAUUCUUAAUCUUUUUGUUAUAACAUGAUAUGACGAAAAGAGGCAAGUUUUAAAAUUUCAGAUAACUAUGGACUGGAAGAAAAUAUUUGCAAAUAAUGCGACCAACAAGGGCUUAAUUUCCAAAAUACACAAAGGGUGCAUAUAACUCAAAAAUAAAACAAAUAAAAACAACCCAAUCAAAAAAAUGGGCAGAAGACUUAAAUAGACAGUUCUCCAAAGAAGACAUACAGAUGGCCAACAGGCACGUGGCAAGAUGCUCAACAUCACUAAUUAUUAGGGAAAUGUAAAUCAAAACCACAAUGAGGUACCAUCUCAUACCAAGGAGAAUAGCCAUCAUUAAAAAUGCUACAAAUAUAUUCUCAAGAGGGUAUGGAGAAAAGAGAACCCUCCUACACUGUUGGUAGGAAUGUAAAUUUGAGAAGCCCCUAUGGAAAACCUAUGGAGGUUCUUCAAAAAAACUAAAAGCAGAACUACCAUAUAUCCAGAAAUACCACUCAAUAGCAUAUAUCUCAAGAAAACUGUAACUCAAAAAGAUACACACACCCCAAUGUUCAUAGCAGCACUAUUUUCAGUAGCCAAGGCAUGGAAGCAACCAACAUGUUCACUAACAGAUCAGUGGAUGAAGAUGUGGUAUACAAACACACACAAUGGAAUAUUCCUCAGCCAUAAAAAAAGAAUGGAAUAAUGCCAUUUUCAGCAAAUGGAUGGACCUAAAGAUAAUCGUACUAAGUGAAGUAAGUCAGAAAGAGAAAGAUAAAUGCCAUAUAAUAUCACAUAUAUGUGAAAUCUAAAAAUGACACAAGUGGAUUUAUGAAACAGAAACAGCAGACAUAGAAAACAAACCUAUGGUUACCAAAGGGGAGGGGGUGGGGAGGGAUAAAUUAGGAUUUGGGGAUUACCAGAUACAAACUACAAUGUGUAAAACACUAAUGGCCUACUGUAUAGAACACAAGGAACUAUGUUCAAUAUGCUAUAAUAAACCAUAAUGGAAAAGAAUAUGAAAAAGAAUUUAUCUGUGUGUGUGUAUGUGUGUGUGUGUGUGUGUAUGUAUAUAAAACUGAAGUUCCCGUCGUGGCUCAGUGGUUAACAAAUCUGAUAGGAACCAUGAGGUUGCAGGUUCAAUCCCUGGCCUUGCUCAGUGGGUUAAGGAUCUCGCAUUGCCGUGAGCUGUGGUGUAGGUUGUAGACACGGCUCGGAUCUGGUGUAGGCCGGUGGCUAUAGCUCUGAUUCGACCCCUAGCCUGGGAACCUCCAUAUGCUGUGGGAGCAGCCCAAGAAAAUGGCAAAAAGACAAAAAGAAAUAAAAUAAAAUAAAAAUAUAAAUAAAAAUAAAACUGAAUUACUCUGCCAUAUAGCAGAAAUUAACACAACAUUGUAAAUCAACUAUACUUCAAUAAAAAAUAAUAAUAAUAAAUUUUGGCUAACACUAUGGCUGAUGUAGGUUUAUAAUUGUGCAAAAGUUUAUAUUUAUGCAUAUGCAAAACAAAAGAUCAUUUAAACUCCCUUGUAAUUAAUAAAUAUUUUUUAAAGUUAUCUAUUUUUUCUAUAGAAAAGGUAAACACUUCCAAUGAUAUGACACAUAAUAAAAAGAUUAAGAUAGAGCAAAAACAUAAGUAUAUAAAUAAAAAUAUGGUAGAAUUACUGAACUUGGUAUCUAUCAAUCAAAAUAAAUUUAUAAUUUAUGUAAAGCUAAGAUAACAUUACUUACAGUCACAAAAAUUAACAUUUUAAAGGAUGAAUUCUUAAUGAAGAAGAGUAAUUUGAUUUUAUCCUUAUGGUUGAAAUAUUUUUUGAAAUUUAUACAUUUUUCUAAUAUAAUAUUAUGUUUUAUGUCAUAUUCCAUAUAAUCUAGUCAUGAGAACCAGAUACUAAACUCUGGUUUAUACUGCCCUCUUAUCUCAUAUUUUUGUAUAAGACAGACUCUGUUAACUGAGAAUUUCUAGACGGAAAAGAUUAUCAGAGUUUCCUUCAUGGCGCAGUGGAAACGAAUCCAACUAGGAACCAUGAGGUUGCGGGUUCAAUCCCUGGCAUCACUCAGUGGGUUAAGGAUCUGGCGCUGCCGUAAGCUGUGGUGCAGGUCGCACACAAGGCUCGGAUCUGGCGUUGCUGUGGCUGUGGUGUAGGCCGGUAGCUGUAGCUCCGAUUAGACCCCUAGCCUGGGAGCUUCCCUAUGCUGCGGGUACAGCCCUAGAAAAAGACAAAAAGACCAAAAAAAAAAAAAAAAAAAGAUUGUCACUAAUACAAACUAAAUUACUCUUCCUCUGUUAAAAAAUAUGUAGUUUUUUGUCACCUUGAAUUCACUAAACUAUGAUCUUAUGUUUUUGAAAGAUAGUAUGUAAGGUAAUCUGAUAUUUUGUUACAUAUUUGCUAGGCAUACAUACUAACAUCCCAUAUAGAUGGUAUCCUCCUGAAUCUCAAAUGAAUAUAUUGUCUCCUAAUCUUAUAAAUUUGAGGCCAUCAAAUAUGACUAACAUAAUGUGACCAGCAUAAUGACCUACACAUUCUUACUUACCUUUCAUAUAAAGCAGACCAUGACAGGUACCUGCCUAGUAAACUACCUGUCUGAGCAAAUACAAUGGGCACUAUGCAAUACUACAAGCCACGUCAAUGGGUAAGCAGAGCCAUGGGGUAGGUCGAAGGGUUGCAGAGACUGUCAAUAAGUUGGCAGCAGUAGGAGAGACAAAGCCACGUGCUAAGGAAAGCACUACCACACUGAGACAGGUUAAAGGGAGGGGCUUGUCAUAAGCAAAUCUGCUUGCCCUCUAUCCAUGGGAACCCUAGAUUGUAAUUAACAAAUAUUGUCCUUGCUAAAGGCCAGGUCUAUUGUACUGAAAGGAAACUCACAAUUUUUGGGGAUUGCUUAAGCUGAGCCAGAUGAAACUGUUGCCUUGUAGGCCCCAGAUGCUUGAAUAUUAGUGAUUUGACAAGGUUGAACCUCCUGGGCAGUAUUAGAAGCUCGAUGUAUAUUGACACACAUAUUCUCAUAACAUGCUUCAAACAAAGAUGAUGCUUCAUCAUCUCUUUUUUUAAUAACUGCUGAAAUUUAUAAUCAAGAUGCUAAGUGACCCUGACAACAAUCUGCUAGGUUCAUUUUGGUGUAGUUUGUUUCUGGUACCUAAGAGAUUACAGUUACGUAGCUGGUGUUCUACAAUGACUAUGGUAUUUUAUAUCUUCUAAUGAAUAACAUGUCCUGGAGUUUGAAAAUGAAACACGAAUCCUUCCAAAUAAUGAAGAGAAAGUUUUUUACUUUAAAGCACCUUCAUACACAGGCCUUCGACUCCAGCAGUACUUAAAAUUAAAAUUUCUUAUUUUUCCCUUUUCUCUUGCCAAGAAAGAUCUAUCAUUCCUUUUAAUAAAAAUAAGUACAAUCUAAAUCUUUCUUGACAUUUCUAAUCUAAUGAAGGGACAAGGAAAUAAAAUGCUAUGUUUCUUGUCAUUUUUUCCCAAAGGCUUUGAAAUAAACUUGUUCAGUGAUGACAGCAUAAUAAUGAAAAGUGUAUAAUGAAAACAGCACUCUGAUGGGUUUUCAAACACUUAUGUGGAAAGAAGAAAAGGGCCUCCAUUGCCUGGUAGGACUGAAUGCACCAAGCCCAAAGUCAGAAAUAAAGAAAAUAAUACUGAAGCAGCACAUAACAAGUGAGAUUCCCAUUACAAGUGACAUGUGAGUAAUUAACAGAGACGUGUGACCAUGUGUUCAAAGCCAAAGCACAGGCUGCCAGAAUAAGGUAAAAUAUUUUUCAGGCUAGAAAACAUAAAGAUCUCCUGAAUAUUCUACAUCAGUGAUAAUAAGUGUUCCUAAUAACUGUACUACCUGAAUUUACUGAGUGCUUACUAUCAAAAAUGAAUGAUGCCCUACUACUUCCUUUACCAUCUCAGUUAGGAUUCAUUUCAAACUGAUGAGACUGGUAGAAAAAAAAAUCUACUUAAUAGGAAGAAGCCUCAGAGAAUAAAAGGAAUUUCACCAAAAAUGAAAUAGCCAUCCUUACAAAGUUCAAAUUUCAAUACACAUCUAUCUUAUUUAUCUUUUCCGAUCUGAAAUCCAUUUCAUUCAUUUAAAUGUAUUUCCUUUGAAUACUAGCAACUGAGAGUUUAAACACAUGCCACACACUCAAAAACAAUAUGUUGCUUUUCAAACCACACCAUUGGUCAAGACAUACAAUAUAUAACCCUUCCACUGUUUUAAAAUUUUUCCACUAUUUCCUUCAGAUCAGUAAAGUAGUGACCAAAAGAGAAGAUUUAGAAAUACAAUAUGAUACUGACCUAAGAAUAAAGACACAGAUCAACACACUAAAAAGGGUAGUACAGAAAUAUAUCCUAUAAUAUACAAGGAUUUAACAUACAUAAAGGAGGAACAAUAAAAUCAACCAAUAAAUGUAAAGAUUGGUGCUAAACAACUGAGAUAUGUAUUUAAAAAGCAUUUUGAUUUUCACUAUGUACAACUGAAGAAAGUAAUUUCUGAUAGAUUUAAUAACUAAACAUAAGUAAUCAAAUUAUAAAAUACAAAAGAAAAGAGAAGUCAAGAUUACUUAAACACCUUUGCGGGAAAAAGAUUAAGCUUCAAAAUAGCAGAAAUCACAAAUAAAAAGAGGGGAAAAUUUAAAUACAUAAAAUUGAAAUAUUUUUGACCAAAAACACUAAAAACUAAAGACAAACAACAAACUAUAUAGUUGUUGCAAAUUUAAAUUAUACCCCUUAAUAUGUUUUUAGAAACCUAAUGUAAAAAUAAAGGUGUAACAAAAAUCUCAGUAGUUUGUACACAGAAUGAAUAUAAAAUUUACAAAGCUUUAACAAUCAAAUUUGUCUUUUAUAUCUUCUGCCCUUAAACAAAACUGUUCCCUUAAAAUAGCCAAUAUUAAAUAAGAGAAUAAAUAAUCUUAAUAUUCUUUAUAAUUUAUGUUUAUGUACAAAUACACACACCAUAUCAGAAGCCCUCAAGCACACAAAAAAAUCCUUUUCUCUUAUAGACAGAGUUUUAAAAUAAGCAAUCUCUAUUAAAACACAAAGGUUAAAUUGUCCAGAGUGAUUCUGAAAAUUGAGCCAAAAGGUGGUUUCUGAGUGUAAGAGUUCUUGGUGGCAGUGAGAAUUCUGAGUUUAUCAUAACAGAUAUAACUGAAGAUAAACAUUCGUCCUCAUAUCUUUGGGAGGAACAUAAAUCGAGUUCUAUGGUUUGAACGGAAUAAAGGGAUUUUAAAACCCAUGGCACUUGCCAAUAACUCUUCUGCACAUUUGACUUGACUGAUAAAUCUUACAUUGAAGUUUAAGUAAGAGAUUAAGGAAGUAUCUUAUAACUUUUUUCAUUCAUUUCCUAGAUGGAACCACAUCAAUUUCACAAAAAAUUACACUGAUUUCAUUUUUAGAACUUUUAUUUGAAUCCUUUUUUGAUACCUUCUUUACUGUGAUGCCAGCAAUAUAACAUAACUUUAAUAAUUUUCCUUUACUAAAAAUUAUUGUCUCUUUGUAGAAGUAUAAUUUGAGCAUGUAUCAUCAUCAUAUGCCUAAAUUCCAGUAGUAAAGGCAAGACUGCAUAGGAGAGAAUGAUUUAGACAACCAAGGUGUCCACCUGCUCCAGGAACAGUGUUUUCUUCCAAAUCUUCCUCAGAUCAACCCCCCACACACACACCCCCCCUCUCCCUCUGUCUCUCUAGCUCUCUUGCCUUUCUUGUGUAGCUACUCUAUAUUCAAUAACUUUUGAAUAAUAAAUGGAUGACUGAAAUUUCUCAUAAUAUUUUGUUAUUAAUCAACUCAUGAAUGAUAGUAUUUUCCCCUUAUCUUACAGUGUAAUAUAUAUAUUGAGAGAAAAUUUCAACAGAGAACAAUAAAGCAAAGUAGAGUUUAGGUGGAAAGGGACAACAGAAUCAUACAUAUCAAAUUUUUUGGCCUUUUACUUUUGAGGAAGUCAUUUAUGAUUUUUUUCAAAUGUCAAAAUGAUUAU
rnacentral:lncRNA from 1 species